rnacentral:lncRNA from 1 species
AACAAUGGGAGAUAAGUUUCCAUCUGCAGUACGUACUUUUUUAUUUCCAGAAAGAGGUUCAUAAGAUAUAAACAAAUGGGACAGAUUAGUCAUGUGAUGAGGAGCACCUGAAUCUAUGAUCCAAGCUACAGACAAUGACGAGGAAGAGGCAUACAAAGUUCUACCUGUUUGAACAAAGGAUGCUACAGGAGCACCGGGAGUCGGUGGAGCAGAUUUCAACAGCUUUAGGAGUUGCUCUAUUUGUUCUUCACUCAAAGAGGUGGGAUCAGCAGUAUGUGCUUUGGCUGGGGCACGGUUCGGAUCAGUUUUAUUAUUCUUCCAUUCUACAACUUUCCAAUCAACAAGUUUUCCAUGCAGUUUCUUCGCGAGUAUGUCAGUGAUUUAUUGCAAAAAUCACACUGGACCUUUGAUUUGUCAUCUUGGCGGCGCUAAGUAUUAGGUGCACGAUAGGCAGCAACAGCAGCAGUCCCUAUUAAUGCUGAAUGUUCCACCGGUCCAGCAGUUAUUUUCUUGCCAGGCAUGACAUUUUUCCUGCUAUCUUGACAUCAAACUUCAGAAAAAACUUCACCGAGGAAUGAAGAGGUUUACGACCUAAAAUCCUGCCCCGUACUUCAUCAAAAUCAACAUCGAGUCCAGCCAGAAAUUUGAAAAUUCGUGAGUUCUCCAUUUUCUUCAAGUAAUUGCAAUCAUCCGUGUUUUUCCACUCGUGGUCAUCAUUGAAUAAGUCAAGGUACUGCCAUAAACCAUUGAGAAUAUUAAAAUAUUUAGUGACGGAAUUUUCAACUUGACGGACUUCCCCCAGUUUGAGUUGUAACUCGUAUGUUUGGAACUGAAUUCCAAGGUCUGAAUACAUCUAGGUGACAUUAUCUCAAAGGGCUUUAGCAGUAGGAUAACACGUAGUUUGCACUUAUAUCCUCCAUAGAAUUCACUAACCAGGCCAUUAUCAUGAAGUUUUCAGUAUCCCAAACAACACGGCCAGCAUCAAUUUUUUCUGGCUUUACAAUAUCACCAGUUAAGUAACCAAUUUUCCCUCUCCCGUUAAUAUACAUUCGAAUAGAUUGGGACCACCUGAGAAAAUUGUUCCCAUUGAGUCGAAUUGCGGUGAUUUGGACAGAACGAGAGAGUAGUUUGGUUGGAGGUUUAGAGGAGUUAAUAUUGGCA